rnacentral:tRNA from 1 species
AAAAUUCCGUCGACUUAAAAAAUUUGGUUCAAGUUCCCUCUAUCCCCA